rnacentral:rRNA from 1 species
UACGUAGGGUGCGAGCGUUAAUCGGAAUUACUGGGCGUAAAGCGUGCGCAGGCGGUUUUGUAAGCCAGAUGUGAAAUCCCCGGGCUCAACCUGGGAAUGGCAUUUGGGACUGCAAAGCUGGAGUGCGGCAGAGGGGACUGGAAUUCCUGGUGUAGCAGUGAAAUGACGUAGAGAUCAGGAGGAAUACCGAUGGCGAAGGCAGGUCCCUGGGUUGACACUGACGCUCAUGCACGAAAGCGUGGGGAGCAAACAGG